GUAAGGGUGGUAGUGGAAUAAGAGCUGGGCAAGACCCGGUGCCAGCCGCCGCGGUAAUACCGGCAGCUCGAGUGAUGGCCGAUUUUAUUGGGCCUAAAGCGCCCGUAGCCGGCCACACAAGUCCAUCGGGAAAUCCGCCAGCCCAACUGGCGGGCGUCCGGUGGAAACUGUGUGGCUUGGGACCGGAAGACCCAACAGGUACGUCUUGGGUAGGAGUGAAAUCCCGUAAUCCUGGACGGACCACCGAUAGCGAAAGCAUGUUGGGAAGACGGAUCCGACGGUGAGGGACGAAAGCCAGGGUCUCGAACCGGAUUAGAUACCCGGGUAGUCCUGGCCGUAAACGAUGUCUGCUAGGUGUGGCUCCCACUACGAGUGGGUGCUGUGCCGUAGGGAAGCCGCUAAGCAGACCGCCUGGGAAGUACGUCCGCAAGGAUGAAACUUAAAGGAAUUGGCGGGGGAGCACUACAACCGGAGGAGCCUGCGGUUUAAUUGGACUCAACGCCGGACAUCUCACCAGCAUCGACAACAGCAAUGACGAUCAGGUUGAUGACCUUGUCAGAGCUGUUGAGAGGAGGUGCAUGGCCGCCGUCAGCUCGUACCGUGAGGCGUCCUGUUAAGUCAGGCAACGAGCGAGACCCGCACUCCUAAUUGCCAGCACCGGCUUCGGCCGGGUGGGUACAUUAGGAGGACUGCCGUGGCUAACACGGAGGAAGGAACGGGCAACGGUAGGUCAGUAUGCCCCGAAUGUGCUGGGCUACACGCGGGCUACAAUGGCCAAGACAAUGGGUUCCCACCUCGAAAGAGGGCGGUAAUCUCCUAAACUUGGUCGUAGUUCGGAUUGAGGGUUGAAACUCACCCUCAUGAAGCUGGAUUCGGUAGUAAUCGCGUGUCAGCAGCGCGCGGUGAAUACGUCCCUGCUCCUUGCACACACCGCCCGUCAAAGCACCCGAGUGGGGUCCGGAUGAGGCCGAGUCCUCGGUCGA
rnacentral:rRNA from 1 species